rnacentral:rRNA from 1 species
AGGGGGCAAGACUGGUGUCAGCCGCCGCGGUAAUACCAGCCCUCCGAGUGGUGGGGACGCUUAUUGGGCCUAAAGCAUUCGUAGCCGGCUGGGCAAGUCCUCCGUUAAAUCCAACGAUUCAAUCGUCGGACUGCGGGGGAUACUGUCUAGCUAGGAGGCGGGAGAGGCCGACGGUAUUUUCGGGGUAGGGGUGAAAUCCUAUAAUCCCGGGAGGACCAUCAGUGGCGAAGGCUGUCGGCUGGAACGCGCUCGACGGUGAGGGAUGAAAGCUGGGGGAGCGAACCGGAUUAGAUACCCGGGUAGUCCCAGCUGUAAACUCUGCAGGCUGGGUGUUGGUGCGGCUACGCGCCGCUCCGGUGCCGUAGGGAAACUGUUAAGCCUGCCGCCUGGGAAGUACGGU